GACGAACGCUGGCGGCGUGCUUAACACAUGCAAGUCGAACGGAAAGGCCCUGCUUUUGUGGGGUGCUCGAGUGGCGAACGGGUGAGUAACACGUGAGUAACCUGCCCUUGACUUUGGGAUAACUUCAGGAAACUGGGGCUAAUACCGGAUAGGAGCUCCUGCUGCAUGGUGGGGGUUGGAAAGUUUCGGCGGUUGGGGAUGGACUCGCGGCUGAUCAGCUUGUUGGUGGGGUAGUGGCUUACCAAGGCUUUGACGGGUAGCCGGCCUGAGAGGGUGACCGGCCACAUUGGGACUGAGAUACGGCCCAGACUCCUACGGGAGGCAGCAGUGGGGAAUAUUGCACAAUGGGCGGAAGCCUGAUGCAGCAACGCCGCGGGCGGGAUGACGGCCUUCGGGUUGUAAACCGCUUUCGCCUGUGACGAAGCGUGAGUGACGGUAAUGGGUAAAGAAGCACCGGCUAACUACGUG
rnacentral:rRNA from 1 species